CAAAGGCAUGGUCCCGGCCUUACCAUCAGCUCUAGCCCGAUUUACACAUGCAAGUCUCCGCAGCCCAGUGAAUAUACCCUCAAUCUCCCACCCGGAGACAAGGAGUAGGCAUCAGGCACACACAUUUUAGCCCAAAACGCCCAGCUAAGCCACACCCCCAAGGGAAUUCAGCAGUGAUAAACAUUAAGCCAUAAGUGAAAACUUGACUCAGUUAGCACUAAGAGGGCCGGUAAAACUCGUGCCAGCCACCGCGGUUAGACGAGAGGCCCUAGUUGAUAAUUUAACGGCGUAAAGGGUGGUUAGGAGUAACAAAUUUUUUUAAAGCCAAAUGGCCCCUUGGCCGUCAUACGCUUCUAGGCGUCCGAAGCCCUACACAUGAAAGUAGCUCUAAUACACAUCCGACCCCACGAAAGCUAAGAAACAAACUGGGAUUAGAUACCCCACUAUGCUUAGCCGUAAACUUAGACAUUCAAAUACAAUAAAUGUCCGCCAGGGUACUACGAGCACUAGCUUAAAACCCAAAGGACCUGACGGUGUCUCAGAUCCAUCUAGAGGAGCCUGUUCUAAAACCGAUAACCCCCGUUCAACCUCACCACUUCUAGCUAUAACAGCCUAUAUACCGCCGUCGUCAGCUUACCCUGUGAAGGAAAAAAAGUAAGCAGAAUGGGUACAACCCAGAACGUCAGGUCGAGGUGUAGCGCAUGAAGUGGGAAGAAAUGGGCUACAUUUUCUACCACAGAAUACUACGAAUAUGCACUAUGAAACAGUACUUAAAGGAGGAUUUAACAGUAAGAGGGAAAUAGAGUGUCCCCCUGAACCCGGCUCUGAGACGCGUACACACCGCCCGUCACUCUCCCCACUAAAAUGCACCACUAAAUACUUAAUACAAUAGCAAUAACAAGGGGAGGCAAGUCGUAACACGGUAAGUGUACCGGAAGGUGCACUUGGACCAAAUC
rnacentral:ncRNA from 1 species